rnacentral:rRNA from 1 species
UAAUACGUAGGGGGCAAGCGUUGUCCGGAAUCAUUGGGCGUAAAGAGCGUGUAGGCGGCCCGAUAAGUCCGCUGUGAAAGUCCAGGGCUCAACCCUGGAAUGCCGGUGGAUACUGUCGGGCUCGAAUCCGGAAGAGGUGAGUGGAAUUCCUGGUGUAGCGGUGAAAUGCGCAGAUAUCAGGAGGAACACCAAUGGCGAAGGCAGCUCACUGGGACGGUAUUGACGCUGAGACGCGAAAGCGUGGGGAGCAAACAGGA